rnacentral:rRNA from 1 species
GACGAACGCUGGCGGCGUGCCUAACACAUGCAAGUCGAACGGAAAGGCCCUGCUUUUGUGGGGUGCUCGAGUGGCGAACGGGUGAGUUACACGUGAGUAACCUGCCCUUGACUUUGGGAUAUCUUCAUGAAACUGGGGCUAAUACCGGAUAGGAGCUCCUGCUGCAUGGUGGGGGUUGGAUAGUUUCGGCGGUUGGGGAUGGACUCGCGGCUGAUCAGCUUGUUGGUGGGGUAGUGGCUUACCAAGGCUUUGACGGGUAGCCGGCCUGAGAGGGGGAACGGGCACAUUGGGACUGAGAUAAGGCCCAGACUCCAACGGGAGGCAGCAGUGGGGAAUAUUGCACAAUGGGCGGAAGCCUGAUGCGGCAAAGCCGCGUGCGGGAAGACGGCCUUGGGGUUGUAAACCGCUGUCGCCUGAGACGAAGCGUGAGUGACGGUAAUGGGUAAAGAAGCACCGGCUAACUACGUG